UCCAGACUCCUACGGGAGGCAGCAGUGGGGGAUAUUGCACAAUGGGGGAAACCCUGAUGCAGCGACGCCGCGUGUGGGAAGACGGUCCUCUGGAUUGUAAACCACUGUCCCCAGGGACGAAAAUGACGGUACCUGGGGAGGAAGCUCCGGCUAACUACGUGCCAGCAGCCGCGGUAAUACGUAGGGAGCGAGCGUUAUCCGGAUUUAUUGGGUUUAAAGGGUGCGUAGGCGGCGCUUCAGGUCAGCGGUGAAAUACCGGGGCUCAACCCCGGGGCUGCCGUUGAAACCGGAGCGCUAGAAUUCCGAUGCCGUCGGAGGAAUGUGUGGUGUAGCGGUGAAAUGCAUAGAUAUCACGCAGAACUCCGAUUGCGAAGGCAGCAUACCGGCGCCCAACUGACGCUGAAGCACGAAAGCGUGGGUAUCGAACAGGAUUAGAUACCCGUGUA
rnacentral:rRNA from 1 species